rnacentral:lncRNA from 1 species
AAGCCUCAAUAGGAUUAGUACGAUAGGGUUAGCCCGAUUUUUGUUAUAUGGGUAAUAACUCUGGCGCUAUUGUCCCCUUUAUUUGUAUUUUUCCUAAUUGUUGUAAUUUUCUUUUCUGUUAUUAAUAAGAAAAUUAUCCCUGGGAUCUGCCUAGUGAAUUGCUAAAAAAAAAGAGAUGCUGUAGAAGAACAAAUAAACAAAACACUGAUUCUAAUACUAUUCACUCAUAACUCAAAUCUCUAAACUCUCUGCCUUCUCUCUAGGAAGAAGGGUAAAUAGUGAUCCCGUCACUAUUCAUCGGGCAUAUCAUCAGAAUUCGGCAAGGUACGGUCACAAAUUAGCUACCAAAAGAACACCUUACGGAUUGUGAACAACCCAUAUCUGAUUUCUUCCUAAAAUCUUUAACCAAUCGUAUCAGAUCUUUGAUUUUGUCAUUCGAGUUACUGUAGCAGCGUGUUAUCUGGGAAGAUUUCAUCGCUGCUCUUUGUUUUCAUUCUGUUUUUCUUUCUUCUUGAUGGAGUAUUGAAGAACUAUGGAUGCAUCGCCCUCUCCCUAGCCUUUGGCUCUGGGAGAGAAGAUCUCAAAUGACAACUCAAAACAAACGUAUGCUGAUCAAUUGAUCCAACAGAAGGCUCCAACUACUUUGAAUCAAAAGUUAUUGAAACCAAUUGAAAUAAUUCACGGAGUCCCAACAAUCAAGUUUUCAAUGGAGGAAAAGAUGGAUUUAACAAAAGAGGAAGGUUUACAUCAAGCCAUUGUAGUGAGCUCUCUUCAAAUGCACCAGAUUUAAUAGCCUUAAGAAAUGUACUGCCGAAAUUUUUCGGCAUCAAAGGACAAUGUCUAAUCGGUCAACUAGCACCUUGACAAUUGCUUAUCAGGGUGGAUCAACAUGAAGAUUUUAUUAAUUCACUUGCGAGGUCAUUUAACUACUUCAAAUUCAAUGAUAAGGAGCAGUCGGUCAACUAGCACCUCGACAAUUGCUUAUCAGGGUGGAUCAACAUGAAGAUUUUGUUAAUUCACUUGCGAGGUUAGUUAACUACUUCAAAUUCAAUGGUAAGGAGCAUCAAAUCCGAAUUUUCCCAUGGUCCCUUGANNN